AUCCUACGGGAGGCAGCAGUGGGGAAUAUUGCACAAUGGGGGAAACCCUGAUGCAGCGACGCCGCGUGAGUGAAGAAGUAUUUCGGUACGUAAAGCUCUAUCAGCAGGGAAGAAAAAAAGUCCUUUGGACUUUGGACGGUACCUGACCAAGAAGCCCCGGCUAACUACGUGCCAGCAGCCGCGGUAAUACGUAGGGGGCAAGCGUUAUCCGGCUUUACUGGGUGUAAAGGGUGCGUAGGUGGCAGGGCAAGUCAGAUGUGAAAGCCCGGGGCUCAACCCCGGUACUGCAUUUGAAACUGUCCAGC
rnacentral:rRNA from 1 species